GAUGAACGCUGGCGGCGUGCCUAAUACAUGCAAGUCGAGCGAACGGACGAGAAGCUUGCUUCUCUGAUGUUAGCGGCGGACGGGUGAGUAACACGUGGAUAACCUACCUAUAAGACUGGGAUAACUUCGGGAAACCGGAACUAAUACCGGAUAAUAUUUUGAACCGCAUGGUUCAAAAGUGAAAGACGGUCUUGCUGUCACUUAUAGAUGGAUCCGCGCUGCAUUAGCUAGUUGGUAAGGUAACGGCUUACCAAGGCAACGAUGCAUAGCCGACCUGAGAGGGUGAUCGGCCACACUGGAACUGAGACACGGUCCAGACUCCUACGGGAGGCAGCAGUAGGGAAUCUUCCGCAACGGGCGAAAGCCUGACGGAGCAACGCCGCGUGAGUGAUGAAGGUCUUCGGAUCGUAAAACUCUGUUAUUAGGGAAGAACAUAUGUGUAAGUAACUGUGCACAUCUUGACGGUACCUAAUCAGAAAGCCACGGCUAACUACGUG
rnacentral:rRNA from 1 species